rnacentral:rRNA from 1 species
AGUGAACGCUGGCGGUAGGCCUAACACAUGCAAGUCGAACGGCAGCACAGUAAGAGCUUGCUCUUACGGGUGGCGAGUGGCGGACGGGUGAGGAAUACAUCGGAAUCUACUUUUUCGUGGGGGAUAACGUAGGGAAACUUACGCUAAUACCGCAUACGACCUACGGGUGAAAGCAGGGGAUCUUCGGACCUUGCGCGAUUGCAUGAGCCGAUGUCGGAUUAGCUAGUUGGCGGGGUAAAGGCACACCAAGGCGACGAUCCGUAGCUGGUCUGAGAGGAUGAUCAGCCACACUGGAACUGAGACACGGUCCAGACUCCUACGGGAGGCAGCAGUGGGGAAUAUUGGACAAUGGGCGCAAGCCUGAUCCAGCCAUACCGCGUGGGUGAAGAAGGCCUUCGGGUUGUAAAGCCCUUUUGUUAGGAAAGAAAAACAGCAGGUUAAUACCCCGCUGUUAUGACGGUACCCAAAGAAUAAGCACCGGCUAACUUCGUG